rnacentral:piRNA from 1 species
UCAGAAUUUAUCUUUUCAGUUUUGGGCUU